rnacentral:rRNA from 1 species
GACAUUGCUAUCGGUGUCCGAUUUAGCCAUGACGAGUCGCACGUGCACCGUGGCCAACGGCUCAAUAACACGUGGUCAAACUACCCUACGGACCGUGAUAACCUCGGGAAACUGAGGCUAAUAACGGAUGUCGCUCCCGAGCUGGGAUGCUGGGAGCGAUAAAGCUCCGGCGCCGUAAGAUGUGACUGCGGCCGAUUAGGUAGACGGUGGGGUAAUGGCCCACCGUGCCGAUAAUCGGUACGGGUUGUGAGAGCAAGAACCCGGAGACGGACUCUGAGACAAGAGUCCGGGCCCUACGGGGCGCAGCAGGCGCGAAACCUUUACACUGCACGCAAGUGCGAUAGGGGGACACCGAGUGCGAGGGCAUAGAGCCCUCGCUUUUGUGCAUCGUAAGGUGGUACACGAAUAAGGGCUGGGCAAGACCGGUGCCAGCCGCCGCGGUAACACCGGCAGCCCGAGUGAUGGCCGCUUUUAUUGGGCCUAAAGCGUCCGUAGCCGGCCGUUCAAGUCCGUCCGGAAAUCCACUGGCUCAACCAAUGGGCGUCCGGCGGAAAACGAUCCGCUUGGGACAGGGAGACCAGAGGGGUACGUCCGGGGUAAGAGUGAAGUCCUGUAAUCCCUGGACGGACCAACGGUUGCGAAAGCGCCUCUGGAGAACUGAUCCGACGGUGAAGGACGAAAGCUGGGGUCUCGAAACCGGGAUUUAGAUACCCGGGUAGUCCCAGCUGUUAACAAUGCUCGCUAAGUGUGUCGCAAGCUAACGAACCUGC